GUAGGGAAUAUUGGGCAAUGGUCGGAAGACUGACCCAGCCAUGCCGCGUGCAGGAAGACGGCCCUCUGGGUUGUAAACUGCUUUUAUCUGGGAAGAAAAAGGCCAUGCGUGGCAAAUUGCCGGUACCAGAUGAAUAAGCACCGGCUAACUCCGUGCCAGCAGCCGCGGUAAUACGGAGGGUGCAAGCGUUGUCCGGAUUUAUUGGGUUUAAAGGGUGCGUAGGCGGCUUCUUAAGUCAGCGGUGAAAGACUCCGGCUUAACCGGAGCGAUGCCGUUGAUACUGGUUAGCUUGAGUGUUGGAGGGGUACAUGGAAUUGAUGGUGUAGCGGUGAAAUGCAUAGAUACCAUCAGGAACACCGAUAGCGAAGGCAUUGUACUGGCCAACAACUGACGCUGAUGCACGAAAGUGUGGGGAUCGAACAGGAUUAGAUACCCCAGUAGUCC
rnacentral:rRNA from 1 species